rnacentral:rRNA from 1 species
GACGAACGCUGGCGGCGUGCUUAACACAUGCAAGUCGAACGGAAAGGCCCUGCUUUUGUGGGGUGCUCGAGUGGCGAACGGGUGAGUAACACGUGAGUAACCUGCCCUUGACUUUGGGAUAACUUCAGGAAACUGGGGCUAAUACCGGAUAGGAGCUCCUGCUGCAUGGUGGGGGUUGGAAAGUUUCGGCGGUUGGGGAUGGACUCGCGGCUUAUCAGCUUGCUGGUGGGGUAGUGGCUUACCAAGGCUUUGACGGGUAGCCGGCCUGAGAGGGUGACCGGCCACAUUGGGACUGAGAUACGGCCCAGACCCCUACGGGAGGCAGCAGUGGGGAAUAUUGCACAAUGGGCGGAAGCCUGAUGCAGCAACGCCGCGUGCGGGAUGACGGCCUUCGGGUUGUAAACCGCUUUCGCCUGUGACGAAGCGUGAGUGACGGUAAUGGGUAAAGAAGCACCGGCUAACUACGUG